rnacentral:rRNA from 1 species
ACGAACGCUGGCGGCGUGCCUAACACAUGCAAGUCGCACGAGAAAUCCUGGGCAACCGGGAAAGUAAAGUGGCGCACGGGUGAGUAACGCGUGGGUAACCUGCCCUUGAGUUGGGGAUAACCCCGCGAAAGCGGGGCUAAUACCGAAUAAUAUGUCAGUCUCUAUGGGGAUUGAAAUCAAAGGUAGCCUCUGCAUGCAAGCUAUUGCUCAAGGAUGGGCCCGCGUACCAUUAGCUUGUUGGUAGGGUAAUGGCCUACCAAGGCAACGGUGGUUAGCUG